CACACACUGCUUUUCUUACAUACACACAGAAACACAAUGCAUCACUAACACACACUCAAUGCACACACUUACAGACACACACCUUGUAUCCUUUAUGCAUACAAACACAGAUUCACACAAUGCAUCCCUUACACACAACCAGAAACACACAAUACAUCCCUUAUACACAAAUACACACUGCUUCCACUACACACAAACACACUGCAUCACCUGCACAAACUGG